UACGAAGGGGGCUAGCGUUGCUCGGAAUUACUGGGCGUAAAGGGCGCGUAGGCGGAUAUCUAAGUUGGGGGUGAAAUCCCGGGGCUCAACCUCGGAAUUGCCUUCAAAACUGGAUAUCUUGAGUUCGGGAGAGGUGAGUGGAACUCCGAGUGUAGAGGUGAAAUUCGUAGAUAUUAGGAAGAACACCAGUGGCGAAGGCGGCUCACUGGUCCGGAACUGACGCUGAGGUGCGAAAGCGUGGGGAGCAAACAGG
rnacentral:rRNA from 1 species